rnacentral:rRNA from 1 species
UACGAAGGGUGCAAGCGUUAAUCGGAAUUACUGGGCGUAAAGCGCACGUAGGCGGCUUUGUAAGUUAGAGGUGAAAGCCCGGGGCUCAACCCCGGAACUGCCUUUAAGACUGCAUCGCUUGAAUCCAGGAGAGGUGAGUGGAAUUCCGAGUGUAGAGGUGAAAUUCGUAGAUAUUCGGAAGAACACCAGUGGCGAAGGCGGCUCACUGGCCUGGUAUUGACGCUGAGGUACGAAAGCGUGGGGAGCAAACAGG